GAUAAAAUGGCUGAGGUUAAUAGGUAAUAAAUUGUAAAUUUAUUAAGGGGAAUAUUCUCUUUUAUCA
rnacentral:tRNA from 1 species